AUAUAACUAGGCGGAGGAAAAGAAACUAACCAGGAUUCCCUUAGUAACGGCGAGUGAAGCGGGACAAGCUCAGACUGAAAAUCUUCGGAGUUGUAGUCUGGAGAAGUCAAGUCAACUUUAAGUUUCGGAUAAAGUCUCUUGGAACAGAGCGCCGUGGAGGGUGAUAGCCCCGUUCAUGUCUGAAACGAAAAGUGUACGGCUGACUUUCUAAGAGUCGAGUUGUUUGGGAUUGCAGCUCUAAGUGGGUGGUAAAUUCCAUCUAAAGCUAAAUAUAAAUGGGAGACCGAUAGCGAACAAGUACCGUGAGGGAAAGAUGCAAAGAACUUUGAAAAGAGAGUUAAAUAGUACCUGAAAUUGCUGAAAUGGAACCGAUGGGAGGCAGUGUUGGCUUGUUAGUACUUGUACUGGUGAGCAAGUUUAGCUUCCUUAACUAUGUGGGAAAGGCUUCUGAAUCAGUUUGAAUCAGUUUUGCUGUCAUGUGGUUGAGGGACUUAAACGAAAUGCCUCUUAUCAU
rnacentral:rRNA from 1 species